GCUGUUUUUUUGCCAACCGGAGUCUCAGGACGCAGAUCCUUCACAAAACCGCGCAUUCAUUUCGCAUACAACCGCGGCACCCAUGGCAACCGCUGGUCACGGCAUCAACGUCGUCGGAGAAUGGCAGAACUUCGGCGACGAAAGGCCUUUUCUCGGUUAUCUUUCUUCUACUUGGUUUAUGCAGCGAGGUGAUCAUCGCGGGGAGAAUGGUCCUGUUUUUCUCGGACGCUGAUUUUAGUUUGGAAAUUCGAACUCAGGCCACUACGCUCAAAGCAUUGCCAUGAUUGUGACAAGUGUGUCCUUCAAUUUGAUCAUCGCUUCCAUUGGCUUGGUACAUACAUGGCAAGGGAAAUCAUUGCCGAGUUUGGUAAGUUUGUUUUAUAUUUAUAUUUUUGUCUCAAUUAAAUGAAAUUUUAGAAAUGUUAUUAAUCUAAAUUAUAUUUACCAUUGUUUUACUUUCCGUGCUCUAUACAUUCCUGGGAGGAAUUUUUUAUGAAGCUCAAUAGAUCAUAUGGUGUCAUAAAUUGGUUUGUUAUCUGUUAGAUCGGUUCAGGGACCAGUCUAGCCGGUCCAUAUGGGACUGGCCCGCAUAUAACAGAGGCGGAACUCCGCUUCUUUGGGUGUUCCGCUCUCUACAUGGGGCCCAACAUGCAGGAUUUAAGUGUGAUUAAGGUGGUUUAGGAGGGAAAUUUCAAAGGAGGGGUUAUUUAGAUAUUUUCUUUAGGAUUGUUUGUUUUAAGUAAAAUGUUUUCCUAGGGUUUGGGCAUCGAGUAUUUUUCUGAAUUUAGUUGUUCUUCACUGUUUUGGGCUCUAGUGGCGUCUAGAGAUUUUGGAGAGCCGGAUCCUCCUCUUCAAUUGAGGAUCCAUUGUAUCUUGUUUGUUUUCUUAUGUAUUUCAUCAAUUAAAGGUUUCUCAAGUGUUUGACCACAAGUUUCUUCUCUACUACUAUUUGCAAUUUGCUGAAAUUCCAAUUUAAACCAAUUUUUUUUUUCUUCUAUUUUUUACAAGUGUUUACUAUCAGAAUCCAGCUCCUCUCUGAAUGUAUUGUGCUAUUUAGCUUAAUUAGAGCAUUGAUCUUUAAGAUUCACGAUAUCUGUGUGUGGAUUUGUAUGUAAGAUCACUUAAUGAUAUAUUGGCUUAUGAAAAUUUUCAUUUUGUGUUUGUUAUCAUCAUGCUUACAGCCACCAUUGUAUCAUUUCUUGGUGCUGCCGAAGGCAUCGAAGUUGAUUUCAUUUAGAUUAUUAGUUCUUAAUACUCAUUUUUGAAUUUUUGUUCUUUUUAUAAUGAGAAAACCUAAAUUCACAAAUAUUUAAUUAUUGAAGAACUUUUGAACAACGUGGAUUCUCUCCUUAAAUCAUCGACUAUUUUUACUUCCAUAAUUAUUACUUAUGACCAAACUAGUAGGGUAAAAGCUAACGAUCAGAUUUUGCAUUCUUGUGUGCAAAACUCUUUGAAAAGGACUUCAGCGUUUUGCAAAACUCUUUGUUUCUAUUACUAUCCUCCAUGAUUACCUAUGAUGUAGUCUCAAGUUACUAUCUGGGCAGUAUGGCUUUCAAUUGACUUUUAUCUCAGCGUUUCAUCUUCUUCUCUUCAUCCCCUAAUCUACUUCAAUCAAGUUAAGUUUUCAGUCCUUUUUCUAUCCAUUUUAUCUAUUUACCAUGCCUUACAGAGCAUGCAUGAUAGACUCAAAUUUGAAACCUUAACCUAGAGAAUGGAGAGCAUAUCAUUUGAGCUAGAGCUCGUUUAUUUGAUAUAAUGCACUGACAUUUUUCGUCAAAGAGGUAUGUAGUGUUUGAUACAUAUCGGAUAUGACAUGCGUCCGACACACCUCCGACACGCGUCGAACACGCCGAUUGUGACUAGGGUUUCACAACACUGAAUGCCAUCUAAAUAUCGAUGUCUAACACCGCUACAGUGUCAACAUUUCAAAACUAUAUAUCUAUCUCAAGUUUGAUAUUGUCUUGAAUUUGACGUUCGAUGUCAACAAUUUCUACACUCACAAUUUGACCCUUGUGCCUUCUCAAUAUCUUAUCUUUGACCGAUGCUUCUCAACAUCAACGAUUGGUGUCCAUUGCAUAACAUUGAUGUUUGACUCUCGACAACAUUUUCGUCUCCCCUUUCAAUGCCUGACACACGAUAUUGACGCUCGAUUCUUGACAUUCUAAUAUUAAUCAUUUUAAAAACAAAUCUUAGUUUAGUGACUUAUUAUUUCUCAAUUAUUUUUCAUAUUCUCUUGAUUUUUUAUACAUUAUUUUUAAGAUAUGAAAAUUAUAAUAUUGCAUCCAACCCAUAUAUAUUUUCAAUAAUUUGCUUGUCUAGUACCCGUGUUGUGUAAUGUCUAUAUUGUCGUGUUCAUACCUGGGCAUCAUAGUUGAUUUGUCUAAUAAGUUCAAACGGACAUCAUCUAUGCAAAAAGAAUUAUUUAUUCUAAUUAACAUCAACCAUCCUUUGAAGUCGGCUAUACUAUCCCAUAACCUGUUCUGUCAUAAUUUAAGAGUUCGGAGCAAUUCUUCUAUUUUUCAUGCUUAUUUGGAAAUUUAAAGGACUCAAAUUUCUGUGAAGUAGAGCUGAUGUCUUAAUUUACAUCCGUUAUUUUAAAAUGGAACUAAACUUUGAUGUAAUUAAUUUUAUGGUACCAUUUUCAGCAUUGGCCCUGUUCCUUAUCUUGUGUUCAUGUUUCUUCAUUUCCAUCUCCAUUAUUUAAAAAAAAAAAAAAAAAAAAAACGUUUUUAUAGUUUCAAGCAACAUAAUGAGCCUUAACUCAAACCAGCACACUUGGAACUUUUUCGAUUGAAAUGUUUCUGCUGCUCUAGAAUUUUUUUCCGUCAAUUCAGUUUUUUUGUUUUUGUUUUCAAUCCAGACCUCCAUACUAAUAAUGCACUAUUGCCUUCUUAUGAAGCUAUCUUGCUCUGGAAUAAUAAGACUAUAUUAUGAAUUCCAUAGGAGGUAAUGCAUCUCUUAUCUGUAGAGUAUUCUUCGACAUCCUGUAAAUAUGCAUAUAUCCAUUAGUAUUACAUCCAUGUCUACUUCUGAAGACAUUUUAAGGUAUUCCUGAAAAGGUUAAUCCUUUCAGUAGAUAACUUUGCAAACAUUGUUGGGGAAGUAAACUAUUCUGCGAACACAAAUAAGAAAAAAACAAAUACAACAAAAAAAGAAUAUCAGGAUUUAACAUGGAAAAACUCAAAAAA